ensembl:lncRNA
UCCCCGACAGCGCGGCACUGUUGAAUUCCCUCACGUCAUGCCGGCGUGGGGACAAGCUGUCGCGUCCUGCAGGGAGACCUACGUUCACCGCGAACAUUUUGGAGUACAAGACUCUAAGUUCCGCGAGCCGCGCCAUGUCUCUGGACGCGCCGCCAGCUCCGAGGGCGUCACUGUCGUCGCUGCUGGCGGGCCGGGCUGGGAAGAGACCCCGAGAGCAGGCCGCCCCACCGGGGCUCCAGCAGGCUGCCGUCCAGCUGCUCAACAGGAACCAGAACCUGGCCGCUCUGCUGCUGGAAGUGGGAGUGAGUCGCCUGCAGACGUCACGCUACGUCACGUUACAUCUGUGUAAUGAGUUUAGAAUCGCGUGUUCGUUCUCGCCACAGUCCAGCCCCAAGAUCCCCAGACUGGAUGCCGGUGUGGCAUCAGAGGCU